ensembl:lncRNA
GUUUUAAAAAAUGUGUGUUGUAUGUUGACUGGAAUGGCAAUAAAUCACUUAGUAAGAUUUGGAACCUAGUGGAGAAGUGUCUGUUCUCUGUGAUAUUGAAGAAUCUAAAAGAGGCCAACAGUGGAGUUUGCACUGGACUACUAGUGUAGCAACGCUUCAAGGACAAACCACUGUUUGAAUACAAGGUCACAGUUCAUGGUUCAGAUCUCAAGCAGUCAGACAGCUCAGAGAGGAAGUUCAAAAGGAGUCUGAUGACGAGCAGCUGUGUGCAAACGCCUCCGAGCUUCUUUAAAUAAGAGGCCAGCUGUUAGUUUAUUGUGGAGCAGAACGCAGGUUGUUGCAGCGUCUGGUCGAAGACUCCGUCAUGUCUCUCUUUGUGAUUCUCGCCCUGCUCGUCUGCAUUGAGGCUCAAGAGCCCAUUGUGACGCCUUUGUUUGUGCAGAAGGGACAUGAUCUGCUCCUGAAGUUUGAUGCUGAUCUUCCUGAGCAGGGUCUGUAGACGCUCCGCAGGGAAGGUUUGAGUUUCCUGAGAAAAGAUUCUUUUUGAUAUUGAUGAAUCUACAAGAGGCCGACAGUGGGGUUUAUUCUGCUGUAGCAGCAACGCUUCAAGGGGACAAAGCACUAGUUGAAUACCAGGUCACAGUCCAAGGACCAGUGUCUCCAGUUGAACUGACUGACGUGGACCGAGUGGACUCCAACAGCUCAGUCACCUUUUAAACCCUUGAUGAUGUUCCACUGACUCCCAGCUGGUGGCAGCAACACACCAGGAGAAGAAAAGAGGCAGACGACCACAAAGCAGCAAAACAUGGACGCAAACAAUUUAGAAUUUAAAGUAUUAACAAAUUCAGCUUUGCAGAUAUUUCCUGGUGAAGUUGAUUAUACACAAUAUAUCAUACACACAAGACCAUUUAAAUAUAUGUUUUAAUUUUUCUCAUUUUGGUGGAUGUCAUCUUGAAGAAAAUGACAAAUAAAUCUGCUUAUGUAUAAUCAAGACUAACUAUAUCUAAGUAAUUAACCUUAAGUACAAUCAUAAAAAAAUAUACUUUGCAUCCUUGUCUGCUUGCAUGUAUGGUAUUUACUUGUACACAAUUCUGUUCAGCAGGUUUUGUUUUGUGUGGAAACUUAGAACUUGUUAAAGCUUCAUACUUAUCUUGCGUUUCAGUGAUUAAAAGGUCACGUGUUCCUCUCUGGUGUACUGUCAGUUUUUACCAAAGAAUCAAUAUGUGCUGUUAUUAUAGUAAAGACACUUGAUAUAAAAUACAAAAUAUAUAAUGGAAAAUAUAUUUUUUAAAUUCUCUAUUACAGUUGAAAAAUAUUUUAUUCAUUUUUUUGUCUAAAAAAUAAAAUGAUAUAACAGAAGCAGCCUGCAUCAUGCAGCUUAAAUCUCACCAAUGAGGUGAGGCCUCAUGAGUCUAAAGUGUAACUGAUCAAAAUGAAGAGUGACAUAAAGGCUCAGACGAGGUACCACAGCUGAGGUUCCGGCCGAGACAACAACAUAUUUCUCACUUUUUCUACAUUGAUCUUAAAUGUAAAAGACACAGCGGACAAUGGCAGAGAUGACAGGACAAGGCAGGAAGUGAAGCUAACCCAGGAACACAAGAGGUAGGAAACUACAAAAUAAAACAGGAAAUAAACCCAAACCGUGACAGAAAGUACGUCACACUGCAG